rnacentral:lncRNA from 10 species
GACAUUUUUUAUUCAGGCUGAUAAAUAAAUAAAUAGUGAAGCAGGUGUGUGUGUGUGUUUGUAUUUGAUGGAAUGGAGAACAGGGGUAUCUCUGCAUCCAUUACUUGGUAAGACACAAUUUUUUCCAUUUCCACCUAGCCAUAUCAGAAUGUCUUGCUUUGUUUCAGUGAAUGGCUGAAGGUAUAGGCUAAGAAAUAGAUUUAAUCUCUUGUUCCAAGUUUGGUUGAUUUAUGGUGGCUGCUUGGAGCCACAAGUUGGGAAGGAUUCUGAGGUCACAUUUGGUCCCAGCAGGAAAGAGAGCCAUGAUCUAUUAAUAAUGUCUGCCAUGAGCAAGAGAGGUGAAGGUGAUGCACACAAGUUGUUUAUCUGACAUUCAUGAACUGAUUUCUUAUCCUGACUUCCUGACUCUUUCUUGUCUGUUAUAUCCUUAAUCAGUUAAGUGUGGCCAACCCCAUUCUUAUUGUAAGAUGUGACCUGAGUUUUGCCAGGAUCUCCAUCCAGUUCCUACAUGGAUGGCCUUGAUAUGAAUAUGGUGUAGAAUGGGGAGAUAAGAAGAUGGGGAUAAAAGCAUUCUUUGGGUAGUAUAUUUUGUCUUGGCAUUCUUUCAUAAUUCAAACAGAACGUAGAAGUUUUCAUUAAUAGCUUGGAGAAUCAGUAAAGAUCUUUCUCCUCAGUUAUUGGAGACAUGGCUAUGAGAUUCUUCCCUAUAGCACUGUUCUGUAUCCUAUCCUGCCAGGAGUCAUAGCAAAAACAACAGCAGCUCCACAGUUUGCUCUGGACUCCGUUUCUUCCCAAUGCUCUUGAACAGGUCCUGGUGGGUUGUGUGAUCUGCAAUGUUCUUCCCUCAGGUCUUCCCAAAGCUGAGUUUCCUUAUCUUUCAGGUCUGAAUCCCCAUGACGCUACCUUAAACAGGCUUCCCUUCAGCACCUUACCAAAUGAUGUCUUCCUCAGUCAUUCUCUAUCAUACUACCUUAUUGUAUUUUAUUCUAUUCCUAUCUUGCAUCAUUGGCUUGACUUAUUUUUCUCAUUGAUUUGCUUACUUACUAGGUGUCUGCCCCUUCAUGUUUGUAAUGCAAGCCCUGUUUUAAAUUUUCUUGUUCACCCCUCUUUUCUAGUGGUUUUGACCAUCUGGCAUAAGCAAGACAAUGUUCUCUUGCAGUAAAAUGGAUCUUUAGAAUUUCUUGUAAUUCAAAUGCUUCUCUGCUUUUGAAGAUCUUUUCCCGUGAUGUGUACUCACCUGGCCUCCAGCCUAAGUUUUCCAUCAGAUCUGUCACAUGCUGGAAAUAUCAGGUCUAUGGUAGUAUACUUUCUGAGAGUGAAUUGUAGCUCUUCACUCAGGCAAACUUCAUGAACAAAGCCUAGGAGUUCCAUGAAGGCAGGAGCCCUUGUGCCCAGUGUUGUCCACACUGACUUUCUCGAUACACUCCUUUGGUCAUAUCUCUUCCAUAUCCUUUCCAAAAUCUUCAGUGAUUGCUCAUUGCCCAGAGACUAAAAGUCUAAGGUCUUUAGAGUAGGAACUUAAGGCUUUUCAGAUCUUCCUGGCUCUUGCUCUUUCGACUCAACACAGGAAUAAACCUUGGCUUGUUCCCUGAACAUGCCUGGCAUGCAUUCUCUCCUCCAUGAGGUUCUUGCUCAAGCAUCAUUCCUUAGGCAGUCUGCCUUAGUUUCCCUUAUCUUAGAACAGAUGACUGUCCUACGGGCCCCUUGCAGCCUGACAUUCCUGCACACUCACACAUGAUUUUGAAAUAUACUGUUUAUGUGCAUUAUCCUAAAUAAUAAGCCUCUUGGGGACAAGCAUUAUUUCUAAUUUACUUUUGUAUCCUAGUAAUUAGCAGAGUGUCUAGCCCAAAUUACAGAAGUAUGAAUAGAAUCACUCCAUCAUUUUUUACAAAUAAAGAAACUAAAGUGCACAGCGUAAGUGUGUCUUGCCCAAAUCCACAUAGCUAGUUGCCAGGGGAAUCAAGACUUGAACAUCAAUUUUUUAUACUUAGAGAGUACACACUCAAAUGUCAAAAGGGGCUGAUUACAUAAGGGCUAAAGCAUAUUAAUAAAAUAGAAUUGAAAGUGGGGGUCCUGUCUAUCUAGGAGAAGCUGCCCAUCAGCUCCAGAGGACAAUGUUCAGGUGGGCAUAUUGGUCCAGCUCUUCCACAUAAUCAGGUUACAAGGAAAAAGUAGAAAAUAUUAUUUGUAUGUGACAUCUCACAAAAUUUUUCAUUUUUCCAACUAGCUAUAAUGAAAACUACUUCAUGGUCUAAGCACAUUCCCUCUGUGAGCCAGAUGAAGCUUCAGCCUGCCAAUUAGUGACCUGUACUCAUUUCUAUAGGACUCCCUUGAAUACAGUAUCAUGGGUCAAGGAGCUCAGACCUGUAGAAUGAGAGAGAAGUUCCAAUUUCCUUUGUGGCUGACUUAUUUAAAGCCACUGAUAUUGGGCUGAUCUUAGAGCCUUCAAGGUGAGUGGGACGAACACCCUCGAGUUUCACUUGAAUGCUCUGGAGCUGUGUCAACUCCAAAUGACAGUUUUCCUGGUCAUUAAAAAUGACCAAGAGUGCGAAUGAUGGUCUGCAAAUGGGCUUUGCUGUGGAUAAAUGCAAAUCAAUACAAAUUAUGAAAGGGGCCCUGUGAUGGAUUGGCUGGCUGUCAAGAAAGAUGAAACGCUGAAGGAUUAUUGUGUGUGUGUGAAGGGGAGCAUAUUUCUCUGAAGGCCUGGCUCUUUGGAAAUGGGGUGGAGGGUAAUGUUCAGUCUUAGAGGAAAUGAUCAGCUCUGCCUUAAUGUAGGUACUGAGAGCGAGGCAAUGGGAGUUUUGGCCACAUUGACUUGAACAUUCAUUUAUUAUGAUGAAAUGAGCUAGUAUUGACCUGGAGAACCUAAUGCAUAGUAUCAGCAUAUUAAUAACAGGUCAUUACAUGCUAUGUCUAACUGCUAGGGUUGAAAUGAUUGCUGUCCUUUCAAAUAUCAAGGAAAUGGUGUCAUUUAGAUUUGCAAUUAUUGCUCCCAGGUUAUCACGACUACUUUCAAAUUAGAGUUCAGGGAGUAAAGGAGAACAGCAUGGAGUCAGCAUGGGUUUAUAUCAUAAGUUCACUAUUAUUAGACUUAUAUCCUUGGGUAUAUUGCUUAAACCAUCUUCGGUCUCAAGUUUAUAAUUUGUAAAAUGGGGAUAACAUUUUCUUCUUAGGUGUGUUGGCAGAUGGCAUUUGUAAAUACACCUUGCACAAUGCCUGGUAAAAACUUGAUGUUGAAUGUAUGUUCAUUUCCCUUCCUCUAUCAAUUCCCACAGCACUCUGUCUGAGCCAUGUUUAGGACUUCGUUGGCUUUCUACCUGAAUUUCUCUAGUCACUUCUGUCCAUAUAAUCCUUUGUUAGGCAAUGAAUUAUCUCACAGCUGAGUUUUUAAAAAUGUUUUAUCUUUUCAUCUUCCACAGGGUCUGCCCACAGUAGGUACCCAAUUAAUAUUUGUGGCAUUAAUGGAUCCACGACUAAAGGCACAAGGGCUGUGGAAGUCUUGGUCAGCAUUUUCCCUGCCAGUCAUCUGUGCCAUGAAGUUGCUCUAUUAUAGCAGGCCAAAUGAAUCAGGAAAAGCAGGUGCAUCUGCUGCUCCUGGUGCAUGGCCUGAGGAGGGAAGGAGGCGCCUGUAAAGCUGUGUUCUCUGUAUAAAGCCCUUCACUUGGAGGAAAAAGAACCUGCACCUGGGCCUCUUUCUGGAACUCAAAGAUGAAGAAACUGAGGCAUCUUGCAUAGAUCUGAAUACCGGCAGUUUGACUCCAGAAUCAGUUUUCAUCGUAGAGGAAGACUACCCUACUUACAUCAGGUACCAUAAAAAGGAUCAUAGGCAGAAGGCACUUGCCUUGUCUCAGGUUGCUGUUUUUGCAUCCUCCUUAUUUUUCUGUUACCACGGUCAUGUAAGAAGUGCCUUUUGCCUCCCACCAUGAUUCUGAGGCCUCCCAGCCAUGUGGAACUGUAAGUCCAAUUAAACCUCUUUUUCUUCCCAAUCUUGGGUAUAUCAUUAUCAGCAGCAUGAAAAUGGACUAAUACACCAUCUCUACAAAAAAUUUAAAAAAUUGGCUGAGUACCAUGGGACAUGCCUAUGGUCCCAGCUACUCAGGAGGCUGAGGUGGGUCAAAGAUCGCCUGAGCCCAGGAGGUUAAGGCUGCAGUGAGCCAAGAUCGUACCACUGGACUCCAGCCUGGGAAACAGAGUGAGUGAGGUCCUGUCUCCAAAGCAAACAAAAACCCAAAAUAUAUAAAAAUAUACACAAUGGAAGGAAC